rnacentral:rRNA from 1 species
AAAGGUCUCGUUGGUGACCAGCGGAGGGACAUUACCGAGUUUACAACUCCCAAACCCAAUGUGAACGUUACCAAACUGUUGCCUCGGCGGGAUCUCUGCCCCGGGUGCGUCGCAGCCCCGGACCAAGGCGCCCGCCGGAGGACCAACCAAAACUCUUAUUGUAUACCCCCUCGCGGGUUUUUUACUAUCUGAGCCAUCUCGGCGCCCCUCGUGGGCGUUUCGAAAAUGAAUCAAAACUUUCAACAACGGAUCUCUUGGUUCUGGCAUCGAUGAAGAACGCAGCGAAAUGCGAUAAGUAAUGUGAAUUGCAGAAUUCAGUGAAUCAUCGAAUCUUUGAACGCACAUUGCGCCCGCCAGUAUUCUGGCGGGCAUGCCUGUCCGAGCGUCAUUUCAACCCUCGAACCCCUCCGGGGGGUCGGCGUUGGGGAUCGGCCCUUUACGGGGCCGGCCCCGAAAUACAGUGGCGGUCUCGCCGCAGCCUCUCCUGCGCAGUAGUUUGCACACUCGCAUCGGGAGCGCGGCGCGUCCACAGCCGUUAAACACCCCAAACUUCUGAAAUGUUGACCUCGGAUCAGGUAGGAAUACCCGCUGAACUUAAGCAUAUCAAUAAGCGGAGGA